GAUGAAGAACGCAGCGAAAUGCGAUACGUAGUGUGAAUUGCAGAAUUCAGUGAAUCAUCGAAUCUUUGAACGCUCAUUGCACCUCUCGGUAUUCCGGGAGGUAUGCCUGUUCGAGCGUCAUUUGUACCCUCAAGCUCUGCUUGGUGUUGGGUGUUUGUUCCGCCUCUGUGUGUGAACUCGCCUCAAAACAAUUGGCAGCCGGCGUACUUGUUUCGGAGCGCAGCACAUUUUGCGAUCCAGAUCAACGUACAGCGGCAUCCAAGAAGCCUUAUUUAACGCUCUUGACCUCGGAUCAGGUAGGGAUACCCGCUGAACUUAAGCAUAUCAAUAAGCGGAGGA
rnacentral:misc_RNA from 1 species